UACGUAGGGCGCAAGCGUUGUCCGGAAUUAUUGGGCGUAAAGAGCUCGUAGGCGGUUUAUCACGUCGGCUGUGAAAUCCCGAGGCUUAACCUCGGGCCUGCAGUCGAUAUGGGUUGACUAGAGUGAAGCAGGGGAGACUGGAAUUCCUGGUGUAGCGGUGAAAUGCGCAGAUAUCAGGAGGAACACCGGUGGCGAAGGCGGGUCUCUGGGCUUUAACUGACGCUGAGGAGCGAAAGCGUGGGUAGCGAACAGGAUUAGAUACCCGUGUAGU
rnacentral:rRNA from 1 species